rnacentral:lncRNA from 1 species
AUUGGGAAUCGAACCCCAAUGGUUGCACGAGGCAACACCCACAAAGGCCCAAUUAAUCUUUCAGCAGAGCGGGCUGCCUGAGAAUCGAACCCCAUUUCUUAUUGGGCACCAAACUAACUAUUAAAUCAGUAAAUUAAAGAAGUGAGGUUAAUGACUCUUGGGUAAUAAACUGAAACUAAACACUUUAUGAACUAGUACGCGCAAUAGUAACUCAUGAAUUCCAAUUUCAGUUUCCUUACCUUGAAUGUGCUAGUGUAUUUGUAUUUCUAAAAUGUUACCCCAUUAACUUCAAAUUCCAGAUCUGAUACAAAACUGGACUAUUUAAAGUAAUACUGAAAUAUGAACUGGUUUUGUAAGAAUUGAAAUUACAUCACACUACACUGUACCAUGCUAGUAUAACAUGCAUCAAGUAACAAGAGAACUCACAUAUUCAUGGGAUUAAACUGGACCAACUUAACAGUCUGUAAAAGUCCCUUAUGCAUUUAAACGGUCCAAAUCAGCAGAAAGCUAUCCUAAUUAACAAUCCAAAUCAAUACAAUCAAGUUCUAUUUCAAUACAAUUCCAACAGACUAAAAAUAAAUAAACAUAUAUCCAUGGACUGUCUACGACCACAACAUGUAAGUGAGCGUAGCACGAGAAUUUGACUUCAUUUCAUUUCAAAUUUGGAGUUACACCAGAGUGAGUUUAAAUAGUGUACCUGGAUUUUAAUAGAACAAAGAACAAAAGAAGUCAGCAACAGCUAAACACAAGAAGCCAAGGGAAUUCCAAUUAGAUCCAAAUGCACAGCCCAGAAAAGUUUAAAAACCAAUAGCAAUCAAAGACAACCAAACUGAGGUAAUUUUGAUCGAAAUAAGCUUUAACCAACACUCAGGAUACACUACCAAAGCAUCACAUCAAGUGGUUGGCCCAAAAUGACUCAACUGAAGCUAAAAACCUCCCGAAAUAGAACAAAUAGAUCUCUGAAGUUACAGUAACCAGAAAUUGAACUAAAAAUUUGUAAAUCAACAGCUGUAAGCUGAAAGUCACCUACCUAUUGCUUAACGGGACAAUAACCCUUCUUUGAUUUUGAAGUUUUAUAUUUUUUUUGGGUUUUCUAUAUGAAAGAAGUUAAAAUCUAAAAGGAUUUUGAUAUGAACUUUUAAUCUCAGAUCCGGAGAGCUUGAGGAACUUUUUUUGGCNN